rnacentral:miRNA from 1 species
UGGUUUUGGACACGUGAAAAU